CUGUCUCACCCCCUCCUUUCGUCCUCCUCUCUAGCUGGCCCUGAGGAGUGACCUGCGCUUCUGAGUUUGCCCGGGAGCUCAGGCUGUAUGGACACAUCAACAUGUACCGCUUCUGCCUCCUAAUACACAUUAGGGCCUACCCUAUAGAUCAGUAUCCCUGUCGUACACGCCAAGCUGCCUCCAUCAUGCUCAUCAUCAUGGAUAACCUGGACCCUGUAGUUGCCCAGUUUCUCCAGGAGCUGGUUACCUAUGUGGGGAAUGGACAGGUUUUCUGGAACUGGGCCCAGGUAAGGACAGAGCACGUGAGUAUGAUGGUAUUACAGUAUGUAGAUAUCUGUGUGCAAUAAUGUGUGUGUCAUUUGACUUGUACUGUGUGGAAACACACUCAUUGCUAUAUACAGUAUCUUUGUGUAUGUGUGUAUGUGUAGUUCCGUCUGGUGAUGCACUACCUGAGUGAGAUGACAUUGUCACCAAUGGCAUGGUAACCACACAUCCCUCCCUCCGUCUAUCCUCCCUACUCUACAGCAUUUCAAUUAGAUGCUGUUUUUCCGUUACCAUCUAGGUUUUCCCAUUUUGAUUUGGAAUAGUCCAUGGCACCAUGAUUAGUCUUAAUAGUCAACAGUAGAGGGCACUAGCCCCUUUGUAAACUCACAUUGAAAUUGUCUUAAAGGGAGACUGGGAUUUUGGCAAUGGAGCCAUCUAUCUACUUCCUCAGAGGUCGAUGAACUCGUGGAUAUAAUAUUUUUGUCUCUGCGUGUAGUUUGAAGGAAGUUGCUAACUGGCGUUAGCGCAAUUGAUAAAUAGCGU